rnacentral:tRNA from 2 species
GGAGAGUUGGCCGAGUUGGCUGAAGGCGCUCGCCUGCUAAGCGAGUAUACGGGACAAAACCUGUAUCGAGGGUUCGAAUCCCUCACUCUCCGCCA